UACACGUGCUAUCGAGAUCUUGUUCUGCAACUGAUGAUACAGGACGUAGGACUGACUGUUUUCAGAAUGGACAGAUUACAGUCACUCAUGGUCACACCUGCAAAGUGUUUGGCUCAUAUGGAAAUAGCACUAGUGCAAUCACGUGUUGGAACGGCAAUUGGAUUGAAUUUCCUGCAGGAUCAAUUCGGGUUAAAAGAGGGACAAUAUCGGAAAUAUUUCAUCCCCUGGUUUCAUUCUUCUGUGUGUUCUUCUGCAGCAACCGUCACCCUCCCCCACCGAACCGCCCUCCUCACAUAACAUGGAGCGUUCCCAACACCACAGUCUACUAUGCGGACCCUGGUAAAACGAGUGUUGUUGUAAAGUGGUCCACACCUAGUGCCACAGAUCCU